rnacentral:rRNA from 1 species
UGGGGAAUAUUGGACAAUGGGCGCAAGCCUGAUCCAGCCAUGCCGCGUGUGUGAUGAAGGCCCUAGGGUUGUAAAGCCCUUUCCCCGGUGAAGAUAAUGACGGUAACCGGAGAAGAAGCCCCGGCUAACUCCGUGCCAGCAGCCGCGGUAAUACGAAGGGGGCUAGCGUUGUUCGGAUUUACUGGGCGUAAAGCGCACGUAGGCGGACUAUUAAGUCAGGGGUGAAAUCCCGGGGCUCAACCCCGGAACUGCCUUUGAUACUGGUAGUCUUGAGUUCGAGAGAGGUGAGUGGAAUUCCGAGUGUAGAGGUGAAAUUCGUAGAUAUUCGGAGGAACACCAGUGGCGAAGGCGGCUCACUGGCUCGAUACUGACGCUGAGGUGCGAAAGCGUGGGGAGCAAACAGG